rnacentral:rRNA from 1 species
AGAUGAGCAUGCGUUCUAUUAGCUAGUAGGUGAGGUAACGGCUCACCUAGGCUACGAUAGAUAGGGGCCCUGAGAGGGGGAUCCCCCACACUGGUACUGAGACACGGACCAGACUCCUACGGGAGGCAGCAGUGAGGAAUAUUGGACAAUGGAGGCAACUCUGAUCCAGCCAUGCCGCGUGCAGGAUGACUGCCCUAUGGGUUGUAAACUGCUUUUAUAUAGGAAGAAACACUCCCACGUGUGGGGGCUUGACGGUACUAUAUGAAUAAGGAUCGGCUAACUCCGUGCCAGCAGCCGCGGUAAUACGGAGGAUCCAAGCGUUAUCCGGAAUCAUUGGGUUUAAAGGGUCCGCAGGCGGCCUGUUAAGUCAGAGGUGAAAUCCUACAGCUCAACUGUAGAACUGCCUUUGAUACUGAUAGGCUUGAGUUAUUGUGAAGUGGUUAGAAUGUGUGGUGUAGCGGUGAAAUGCUUAGAUAUCACACAGAAUACCCAUUGCGAAGGCAGAUCACUAACAAUAUACUGACGCUCAUGGACGAAAGCGUGGGGAGCGAACGGGAUUAGAUACCCCGGUAGUCCACGCCGUAAACGAUGGAUACUAACUGUUCGUCCCGCCUGCGGGAUGAGUGUCAAGCGAAAGUGAUAA